CAAUAGCGUAUAUUAAAGUUGUUGCGGUUAAAAAGCUCGUAGUUGGAUUUCUGUUGAGAACGUCCGGUCCGCACUAUGUGCGUGUAUCUGGUUCGGUCUUGGCAUCCUCUUGAGGAACGUAUCUGCGCUUGAUUGCGUGGAGCGGUAUUCAAGACUUUUACUUUAAGGAAAUUAGAGUGUUCACGGCAGGCAAGCGCCUUGAAUACGUUAGCAUGGAAUAAUAAUAUAGGAUCUUGGUUCUAUUUUGUUGGUUUCUAGGGCUAAGGUAAUGAUUAAUAGGGAUAAUUGGGGGCAUUUGUAUUAACGCGUCAGAGGUGGAAUUCUUGGAUUGCGUUACGACAAACUACUGCGAAAGCAUUUGCCAAGGAUGUUUUCAUUGA
rnacentral:rRNA from 1 species